rnacentral:rRNA from 1 species
CUAAUACAUGCAAGUCGAACGCGUCUUGGUUAUUGAUGUUAGAUGCUUGCAUUUAACUGAUUUAACAUUGAGACGAGUGGCGAACUGGUGAGUAACACGUGGGUAACCUGCCCUUGAAGUAGGGGAUAACACUUGGAAACAGGUGCUAAUACCGUAUAACAACCAAAACCACCUGGUUUUGGUUUAAAAGAUGGCUUCGGCUAUCACUUUAGGAUGGACCCGCGGCGUAUUAGCUUGUUGGUAAGGUAACGGCCUACCAAGGCAAUGAUACGUAGCCGACCUGAGAGGGUAAUCGGCCACAUUGGGACUGAGACACGGCCCAAACUCCUACGGGAGGCAGCAGUAGGGAAUCUUCCACAAUGGACGAAAGUCUGAUGGAGCAACGCCGCGUGAGUGAUGAAGGGUUUCGGCUCGUAAAACUCUGUUGUUGGAGAAGAACAGGUGUGAGAGUAACUGUUCACAUCUUGACGGUAUCCAACCAGAAAGCCACGGCUAACUACGUGCCAGCAGCCGCGGUAAUACGUAGGUGGCAAGCGUUGUCCGGAUUUAUUGGGCGUAAAGCGAGCGCAGGCGGUUUCUUAGGUCUGAUGUGAAAGCCUUCGGCUUAACCGGAGAAGUGCAUCGGAAACCAGGAGACUUGAGUGCAGAAGAGGACAGUGGAACUCCAUGUGUAGCGGUGAAAUGCGUAGAUAUAUGGAAGAACACCAGUGGCGAAGGCGGCUGUCUGGUCUGUAACUGACGCUGAGGCUCGAAAGCAUGG